GUCUGUCAAAGUGCCUUGAGGCAGGACAACGUUAUUAGAUAGAUGCCCUUCUGAGGCUGUCUGCUCCCUGGAUUCAGUUCAGAGGAAGAAAACACAAGGUCACCCCCAAACAACAAAAGAAGUAAAAGAGCUUCCAAGAGAACAUCAUAAGGGGUGCAGUCCUGGCUGCAGACUGGCCAUUGUGCUCAACAGUGGAGGCAUCUUCCGAGGAAUCAGCUUCAGAACCUGUGGCACGUCUGUUAAAUACCUUCAGUGCUGGCAACUGAUCUUUUGAAGGUGGACAUGAUGUUUGUAACUAUCCAGAAGUUAUUUGGAGUCCACAGAAAAAGCCAGAGAUCAGGAUUAUGAAAUGUGAGGAAAGAGACGGCUGUAUCUUUUACUUCUUUGUAUUCCCUUUCAUACCAAGAAUGUAACUUGGUGACUUGCACACAGUAAGUAUUAAAUGGGUAUGUUAAACUGACAAAGAGCCUUGUAUGUGGGGAAACUUUCUAUUUGUGUAGAAUUAAGAGGGGGAGUCGUGCCGUGCAGAUGAGCUGGGGUGCAAAGCUGAAGAAAAGGCACAAGGGUAGAAUAACAUGAGAAACACUUGGCCUACUUGAAAAAAAGGGUCUCAGGGGGCAGAGUUUAUCUGGUGUUAUCACGGGAGAUAUAAUUAGAAGGGGAUGUUUUAUGGGCAGAGUAGAUCUUUAUCUUCUAGGCCAGUGGUUUCUAAUUUUUUUAAUCAUUAGAGAUUUUUCUCUGCUCCCUCCCUAAAAAGGCUCCCUAAACAGAAACACAAUAUAUAGAACAGAUAAAUGUAAAAGGUCUCUGGCUAAAGUCAUGGGGGAGGGGGCCUGGGACUGGUUCCUUCAACGUGGUUCCUCAUACACACAUCCUAGGCACCACUUAGGUUCUUUCAAAGCAAUAUGAACCACGAGUGUAAACACUGGGGAGCCCUCAAGUAUUGUGUUCCUUUUGUAUCUCUAUAGAAGUGUAAUCCCCAGCUUCCUGAAAGUUCCAGAUCUGCUCCUCACAACUGCAAACCUCUCCCCUUUCCCCAGAGUGCUUUGGGACCACUGUCCUGGGGGUAUACCCUGCCUAACAGUCAUUCCUUUUUCUUCCUUGCUAAUGGAACCCAACUUGA